AGAGUUUGAUCCUGGCUCAGAACGAACGCUGGCGGCAGGCCUAACACAUGCAAGUCGAGCGCCCCCUUCAGAGCACGGAAGACGGAAUACAGGGAUCGGACGAGAGACCGAUCUGAUCCCUGUAUUCUGUAUUCCGUUUUCUGAUGGGGGAGCGGCGGACGGGUGAGUAACGCGUGGGAAUUUUCCUCAAGGUACGGAACAACUCAGGGAAACUUGGGCUAAUACCGUAUGAUGCAGAGAUGCCAAAGAUUUAUCGCCUUGGGAUAAGCCCGCGUCAGAUUAGGUAGUUGGUGGGGUAACGGCCUACCAAGCCUGCGAUCUGUAGCUGGUCUGAGAGGACGAUCAGCCACACUGGGACUGAGACACGGCCCAGACUCCUACGGGAGGCAGCAGUGGGGAAUCUUGCGCAAUGGGCGAAAGCCUGACGCAGCCAUGCCGCGUGAAUGAUGAAGGUCUUAGGAUUGUAAAGUUCUUUCGCUCGUGACGAUGAUGACGGUAACGAGAGAAGAAGCCCCGGCUAACUUCGUGCCAGCAGCCGCGGUAAUACGAAGGGGGCUAGCGUUGUUCGGAAUUACUGGGCGUAAAGCGCGCGUAGGCGGUUUUGCAAGCCAGAGGUGAAAUGCCUGAGCUCAACUUAGGAAUUGCCUUUGGGACUGCGAGGCUUUGAGGACGGAAGAGGUGAGUGGAAUUCCCAGUGUAGAGGUGAAAUUCGUAGAUAUUGGGAAGAACACCGGUGGCGAAGGCGGCUCACUGGUCCGUUUCUGACGCUGUAGCGCGAAAGCGUGGGGAUCAAACAGGAU
rnacentral:rRNA from 1 species